rnacentral:ncRNA from 1 species
GAUUGAUUCUGUCUUAUUUAUGUAGUUAGUUUUAUUUCGAUGCAUUUAUAUGUAAACUUUUGUUUGAUUUUUAUAAUAACUUAAUGUUUUUGUAAUUUUCAUUUGUUCGCAGUUUUUAAUUUUAUUUUUUAGUUUUACGCUAGAAUUAGGUAAUUAUUUUUAGAGUUGUUUAUUAUUGUGCCAGCAAACGCGGUUAUACAAUUAACUCAAAUUAAUUUUUAUUUGUUUAUAUUAAGUUAUUUGUUGUUGAGUAAAUUUUAUUUAUUUUUAGGUGAAAUUUUAAUUUAUAUUUUUUCUUUGGUUUAAUAUUUAUAUGAAUAUCAUUGUUUAAACUAGGAUUAGAUACCCUAUUAUUUUUGAUUGUAAUUUUUAAACAUAGUAUUAAUAGUUAUGAUCUUGAAAUUAAAAGGAUUUGGCGGUAAUUUAAUCUUUUCAGAGGAACCUGUUCUGUAAUCGAUAAUCCACGAUGAAUUUUACUUUAAUUUUUGUUUAUAUAUCUCUGUCAUUGAAUGUUUUAUUAGAAUUAUUUUCUUUAAUUAUUAUUUGGAUAAUGUCAGGUCAAGGUGUAAUUAUAUUAAAGGUUGAAAUGGGUUACAUUUAAUGUUUAUUUAUUGGAAUUAAUUAUUUGGUAUAGUUUAAUUAAAUUGGAUUUGAAAGUAAAAUGUAUUUAUUUUUUAUGUUUGAUUUUGGCUCUAAAUUAUGUACAUAUCGCCCGUCACUCUCGUUAAUUGUUAAAAUGAGAUAAGUCGUAACAAAGUAAUUCUACUGGAAAGUGGAGUUUGAAUUAU